rnacentral:lncRNA from 1 species
GAGCUUUUGUUCCUUGUUGUUUUUCAUGAUUUCUUUGCAUUUAAUAGUGUUUGGAUUUUUUUUUUUUUAAUACGUUUUAAAGAGCAUUUCAGGCUGGCAAAUGGGGGGCAGAGCGACAGCCCUGCAGCCUGCGGUCCCCUCCCGUGUGUCCCAAGCACCCUGUGCAGAGGGGGCCAGGCAGGACGUGUCCCCCCCCGCGGCCACCGCCACCCCCCGCAGGGGCAGCCCCGGCUCCGCUCCCGUCCCCUCCAGGGGGCUGCAAGGCGCCGGGGGUCCGGCGACCAAACCCCGACGGCUCGUCCCUGCGGGUUUUGCCCCAAUUCCUCUCGGGGAGCCGCCUCCUCGCUCCCCCAGCCAUGGGGAAGGGGUGGUCAGGGGCUGAGGGAGCCCGAGGAGGAUCCCGGGGGCGAGCUGAGGCGUUUCGGGGCAGCCUCAGGGCAGGGGGCCGCCCGUGCUCGCCCCGUCUGGGGCUGCAAGCGGGGGGGCUCAGGCUUUGCAGACACCUCAGGACGAGGCUUUGGGGUCACCCGGCUGCGGCUCUGCCCUGCUUGGGGGGCGAGGCGGCGGAGCGGCAGCCCCAGCCCCAGCCCCGACGGCCCCGCAGCCCCGGGGGGAGCAGCGGGCUGCGAGCCCGGCCCGGCGCCGCUCGCUGGGCUCCGGCUGCCACCUGCAGGCCGCGGGCAGCAGCACCAGGCCGCGGGGAGUAACUUCGUGCCUGGCCUGGAGAAAGGCACAAACGCCCUAGGGCUGAGGGAUCGCCCCGCUGCCCGCCCCGCUGCCGUGCUCCUCGCCCCCCCCCCUGCAGCCUGGAGGGGGCGGCCAGCGAGGGCGGCUCGCAGCCCCCAGGUGCUCUGCCCUCGUCUGCCUCCCACUCCUCCCACCUUCCUCCAGCUGCUGGUGCUGCUCUUUCCUCCCACACAGCAGCUCGAAGAGGCUGGAGGAGACGGUGAGGAACAGGGGAAGCACUCGGAGGCUGGCAGCUGCCUCUGCCUGGCUUCUCCGCACAGCCCCAGCUCCCCUCCACCUCUGCAAUUCUCCUCAGGCCGCAGGGCUCACAGGGGUGGAGGAAGCGGGACACAGGGGAAGAAAGGCAGGUGCCUGGGAGCUACAGCUGGGCUCUGCGAGGAAGCCUUUGAGGAUUAA